GUGGAGAGCCGCAGAAGUGAAGCCCUCCCACCCUUUCCAGUUGUCUUGGUGUUGAAAUCUCGUGCACCACCACCAUGGUGAGCUCCAUCUGAUAGGAGAAGGAGGAGACGUCAGGAUCCAACAAGAUCUUCUGCUCCACAAACACACUCAGGCCCCAGUUCUCCAUGGCUGCAUACGGAUGCUUCGGCACUGCCAGGAGAUCUGCACACAGUGAGAAAGAUCAAAGCUCAAUGACGGGAAAGCAGGAUUGUGAUACAAUGCAACAAAGAUGAUGGUGGAGUGACGAGCUCAUUCAAGUGGCAAAGAAUAAUGAAAACAGCAACGCAAAGGUGAAUGACGGAAAGAGCUGCUCUGUUAAAUGACUUCAACUAAUACUGCAAUUACACGACCGAUGCUCUUGAAGAGAGAGACAAAAGCACCAAGGUAAUCAGAGAUGUACUUCAACUCCAUCAGAACUUGCAAGAUCCUCACCCAGAACAGUACCAGAAUACCCUUGUCUACACACCUCAAGGCCCAGAUCCAGACAUAUUAGUAAGUAAAGAUAAUGAUCCUUCUAUAUAUAUCAAAGUAUAACUGUGCCACAGUA